rnacentral:rRNA from 1 species
UACGUAGGUGGCAAGCGUUGUCCGGAUUUACUGGGCGUAAAGAGCGCGCAGGCGGUCGUGCAAGUCGCGUGUGAAAGCCCCCGGCUCAACUGGGGAGGGUCACGCGAUACUGCUCGACUCGAAGGCGGGAGAGGGAAGUGGAAUUCCCGGUGUAGUGGUGAAAUGCGUAGAUAUCGGGAGGAACACCAGUGGCGAAGGCGACUUCCUGGCCUGUUCUUGACGCUGAGGCGCGAAAGCUAGGGUAGCAAACGGG